rnacentral:rRNA from 1 species
UGGCGGACGGGUGAGUAACGCGUGGAAAACCUGCCGUAUACUGGGGGAUAACACUUAGAAAUAGGCGCUAAUACCGCAUAAGCGCACAGCUUCGCAUGAAGCGGUGUGAAAAACUCUGGUGGUAUACGAUGGUUCCGCGUCUGAUUAGCUAGUUGGUGGGGUAAUGGCCUACCAAGGCAACGAUCAGUAGCCGGCCUGAGAGGGUGAACGGCCACAUUGGGACUGAGACACGGCCCAAACUCCUACGGGAGGCAGCAG